AGUUGAGUUGCUGCCGCAAAGCAAUCAAAUUAGCUGUCGCUAGGUGGCUUAAAAUGAUUUCCACUAGGUUGCGCGAGUGUCUUCACUCUUCAGGGAUAAAUGUGUUAUGGUCGUGACGUUUCUCAUGAUGAAAAUGAAAAGGUCCAAUGCAACAGUAAAAGUCCGCUGCUGGUUACUUUGUUGCAGACAGCUGGGGAUAGGUGUUCCUUUUGCAGGUGUGCUACUGGUACUGGUUGUAAUUUUCGUCAUGUACAGAAACAAUUCUUAAGCAGGAUGUCGAAGAUCUUUCCUUUCUCCACGAGGUUGCUGACGUGUCAUGAAGAUGUGUUUUUCGGGAGGGUCUCUACUAUAUUGCAAGACAAAAGUGUGAUGAAAACAGGAAAUCUGAAAUGGUGUCCAUCUUUCUUAAUAGCCCACAUUUCUACUUGACAGCUCUACCAAUGUGCUUAACAGCAUAAGAAGUUAAUCAAUGAUGCCAAGCUUCUAAGGACUUAGAAACGAAAAUGUUUCUCAUUUCACAGUAAUGGUGAUCCCAAAGAAUAUGACCAUUGAAGAUUUAGUUCUCUAUGCAGAGACAAAACGAUAGUUGGCUGAAAACAAUUGGAUGUACAUGGCUAAUUUUAUCGUCAUAUAAAUAGGGUGGUGGACAUGUUACAAAAUUUUUCCACAAGAAUGCAGAAAACUAUUAUCAAAUCAAUUACUAGAUGACCUUUUUAUAUCUUCCUUUUUACUCCUAUCAUUUGGGUUUAAAUAGUGACGAACUGACAGGUGGAUGGUGGCAGCAUAUUUGAUACAGGGAUCCACUCUUUCUUAUAGGCUAAAGCAUCUGACAGAAGUUAUCCAAAAUAGGCAACUUGUGUGUAUUACGUUUCAGAUGGUUUCGAUUCCGACUAGUCCGGUGCAUCAGUGGGCCCUCUUCCGACAAACCCAGAUUAAAUCGGAUGAGAUUUCUGGCGAUGACAAUAGAACAGGAUGCAUAUUCGGAAGUCAUGGGCUGUCUGAUGGGCCCGCAACACGUCCAGCAGCCACAUUGAGACUCGGAAACGUUUGUCGGUUCUUCGUUGCCGACGUCGGCCGUCUUGACUGAGUUACAUCACGCUACCUGGACAAUUCCCGACUCUUCACUCGCUUCGACGACAACAAAGAAUUUUUUCCGGUUCCAAAGUUUAUGGUGUUCCGUCGGUGGACCACACAUUUUGAGUCAUCGUUAUUAUGAUGCAUUUGCCUAUAAUAGUGAAGCAGGAGCGAUUACUGGAGCAGCUGCCGGAUGAUUCUGGAACCACGAACUUACUCUUCCGUUUGGUGUUCCGAUUCGCCAGUUAUUUGUUUGGUCGUUUGCAUCGCAACCGACUGAAACAUCACCGCAAUGAACCGAAACUAUGAGAUGCUAUUUUGUUGCCGGGAGUAAUCAAAGAUAUCCUAUCAGUGCUGGAUCGUGGAUAGAAUCAUUCGUUCGGCUGAAGAAUAUCUCGAUUCUUUCGAAUGACCUGGCCCAACAAUUCACAGAUCUCGUCCGGGAUCAACUCGCUUAUUCAAUCCCGCCAUAUUGGGAUCCAGCAAAGAAAACUUUUACUCCUCAGCUGAAUGUUGUCCACCAUUCAACAACGGAUGCCACUGCUUCUAGUCAAUCUGCUGGACCGUGUUCCGGCAUGAAAGAUUCAUUUCAGAUUGUUUGAAAUUGCCAUGAACUUGUUUGUUUUUUGUUUGUUUUCUGCAAUUCGUCUUGUUGUGGAGCGUCUAGACUAGCAUAUCUGAGUAAGGGUCUAACAGUUUGCGUAUUGGCCCAGUCGAAGGUACUGGAGGAAGUCUGAUUGGUGGCGAUCGUGUGCCCGUUUUAGUGAUGGUUAGUUAGAGAACGCUGCCGUAAUUGUUGUCACAGAAGGAGUGAUUUAUGUCUCCGGCUCUUUUAGUUAAAUUUCGUGUCAGAAACAAAAAGGUUUUCCAUUCAGGGUUCCCCAUCUCUCAUACCGGUCUGUUACAGCAGUAGUCAACGGCGUACAACGAAUUUUUUAUAUCAAGGUUUUUUUUCUCAUUUAAAUGCUGCAGUGCAUUAAUGUUAGUAUUUGUUUUUGUAAGAGUUGACUGGGGAAGUAUUGGGUUAGUACAUGCAUGGUGUUAUUUAUCAUAAGAAUACAAGAACAGACAUGGGAAACAUUGGGAGGUAAUAGAGGGGGGACAUGUGGAAGGAGUAGGAAAUGAACCUGGGGCCUUUCUUAUCAUCACUAGGGGCCGUAACCAUGACGUGGUCCAUCAUCCAAUUUGAUAAAUCUCGAGAAUUUUAUCAGAUCCUUUAAAGGGCUGGCUAAGAAUGUUGUGGAAUUUUUCAAUUUAGGCAACACAGUAGGUAGCUAUUGGUUAUAGCUAAAAAUUGUCACGAGUUACGUGUUUGAAUCUUGUAGGACACUGGAGGACUAAGAGGGUAGGAAGUAGAAGUGCAGAGAAAUCUGUGGAAUAGUCCAGUAAAAUGCGAAUGUAUAAGAAAAGAAACGUGGUAAGUUGCAAUUUUAUUUUUCAACGGGAUAUUUACAUCCAUCAGGAUGAUUCCAUUCAUAGUCGAAAUGUUUGGUUAGUAAUGUAACUAUAAUUGCGUAUUAUAGAGACGUUACAUAGUGUUUAAGGAUUGAUCCACCGUAGUGUUGGUAGUUUUAAAUGGUGCACGCGAAUCUUUCAGUCUUCAUUCUGCAGUGUUGUGUCGAAUUUGUGUUCUGGUCAUCCGUGUGGACAAUCGGUUUGACUGAGUGUUAGCUUGUCAAGGUUGUUUUAACUCUUACUUUUAUACGGCCGUAUAAAACUAAACCAAUAAAUGUGUAAUUGAAAAUAA
rnacentral:misc_RNA from 1 species